ACGAACGCUGGCGGCGUGCUUAACACAUGCAAGUCGAACGGAAAGGCCCUGCUUUUGUGGGGUGCUCGAGUGGCGAACGGGGGAGUAACACGUGAGUAACCUGCCCUUGACUUUGGGAUAACUUCAGGAAACUGGGGCUAAUACCGGAAAGGAGCUCCUGCUGCAUGGUGGGGGUUGGAAAGUUUCGGCGGUUGGGGAUGGACUCGCGGCUUAUCAGCUUGUUGGUGGGGUAGUGGCUUACCAAGGCUUUGACGGGUAGCCGGCCUGGGAGGGUGACCGGCCACAUUGGGACUGCGAUACGGCCCAGACUCCUACGGGAGGCAGCAGUGGGGAAUAUUGCACAAUGGGCGGAAGCCUGAUGCAGCAACGCCGCGUGCGGGAUGACGGCCUUCGGGUUGUAAACCGCUUUCGCCUGUGACGAAGCGUGAGUGACGGUAAUGGGUAAAGAAGCACCGGCUAACUACGUG
rnacentral:rRNA from 1 species